rnacentral:piRNA from 1 species
UAUCCAUUUUAUACUCAUUGG